UACGAAGGGGGCUAGCGUUGCUCGGAAUUACUGGGCGUAAAGGGCGCGUAGGCGGACAGUUUAGUCAGAGGUGAAAGCCCAGGGCUCAACCUUGGAAAUUGCCUUUGAUACUGGCUGUCUUGAGUACGGGAGAGGUGAGUGGAACUCCGAGUGUAGAGGUGAAAUCGUAGAUAUCGGAAGAACACCAGUGGCGAAGGCGACUCACUGCCCGUACUGACGCUGAGGCGCGAAAGCGUGGGGAGCAAACAGG
rnacentral:rRNA from 1 species